rnacentral:lncRNA from 1 species
GUUGUAUUUCCUAAUCAAUUGGGUCGAACUGAAUGUCAUGGUAAGAAAAAUUCCACAACAAAAUGUUUUUACUUAUUAAUAGAUUAUUGAUCUCCAUAUAUUAUCUGUGACAGGUGGGACCAGGCCUUAAUCAAUUUUGAUUGUUUUCAAAUAGCAGGAGAUGUUUUCUCAACUGUCAUAUACCUCACAUGUAGUACCUGCUUCUUUCAAGGGCAGAAUUAGUUUCACGUGCCAGGAUAUGAGCACAAUUUGUGAAGGUUAAAAAGGUGCUUACUUUGUAUCUCUAAAGGCAAGAGAUUUUUCCCCAAGAAGCAAACAAACAAAUUGCAUUUGUAAUUUAAUUUUUUAUAACAACUUGAGAUAAAAUCUACAUACCACACAGUUCAAACAUUCAAAGUAUACAAUUCAGUGGUUUUUAGUAUAUUCAGAGUUGUGCCACCAUUACCACAAUCAACUUUACAACGUUUACAUCACCCCAAAAAAGAAACCCCAUACUAAUUAGCAGUCACCCCUUUGUCCUCCCCAACCCUUCAGCCUAAGCAACCACUAAUCUGCCUUCUCUCUAUAUAUAUUCGCCUGUUCUGGACAUUUCAUAUAAAUGAAAUCAUAUAAUAUGUGGCCUUUCAUGUCUGGCAUUCUUCACUUGAUAUGUUUUCAAGGUUUUUCCAUGUUGUGGUGCAUAUCAGUACUUCAUCUCUUUUUUUAUUGCUGAAUAAUAUUCCUUGUAUGGAUAUGCCACGUUUUGUUUAUUCACUUGUUAGUUGAUAGAAAUUAGGGCUGUUUCAAUUUAGAUCUUAGGUCAACUUUGAGUUAAUUUUUAUAUGCAAUAUGAGGUAGGAGUCCAAUUUCAUUAUUUUGCAUGUGGAUAUCCAUGUUUCCAAGCAUCAUUUAAUGAAAAAGACUAUUUUGCCCCCAUUGAAUUGUCUUAGCACUAUUUUCAAAAGUCAGUUGAUGAUAAAUGUGAUCAAUAUUUCUGGACCCUCAAUUAUAUUGGUAUUUUACUCUUUCUGAUGCUGUCAAUUUUUUUCUUUUCUUUUUUGUUUUUUUUGAGUCAAGGUCUAACUCUGUCAUCCAGGCUGGAUUGCAGUGACCCAGUUAUAGCUCAUUGCAGCUUCGAACUUUGGGGCUCAAGCCAUCCUUACACCUCAGCCUCUGAGUAGCUGAGACGACAGAUGAGUGUCAUCACAUCCAGCUGUUUUUUGUUUGCUUGUUGUUUUUUGUUUGUUUGUUUUUGUAGAGAUGGGAUCUCACUGUUUCCCAGGCUGGUCUCCUGGCCUCUAGCAGUCUUUCUGCCUCAGACUCCCAAAGUGUUGGGAUUACAGGCACAAGCCACCAAGCUUGACCAUUGUUGAAAAUUAAAUUGUUUUCUUAACAUCAUUUUUGAUUUAUUCAUUGAUACUAUAUUGAAAGAUAACCAAUUUCUGCAUAUUUAAUCCUGUAUCCUGUAACUUUGCUGAAUUUAUUUAUUAAUAAAUCAUGCCUUUGGAUUUUCUAUAGUUUUCCCUUGGAUUACUAUGCACAAAACCACCAUAUCGUCUCCCAUCUCUAUUUAGUUAUACUUCUUCCUUUCCAACCUAGAUGACUUUUAUUUUAUUUUCUUGCCUAAUUGCCCUUUCUUGACUGUCCAGUACAAGUUGAAUAGAAAUGGCCAAAGCAGACAUCCUUGUCUUGUUUCUGAUCUCAGGGGGAAAUAAUCCAGUCCUUCACCAUUAAGUAUGAUGCUAACCAUGGGUUCUUCAUAGAUGCCCUUUAUCAGGUUGAGGAAGUUUCCUUCUAUUCCUAGUUUGUUGAGGGUUUUUUAUUUUUUAUUUUUUAUUGUGAAAGGGUGUUGAAUUUUGUUAAAUACUUUUCCUGUGCCUAAUGAAGUGAUCUUGUAAAUUGUAAUUUAAUCUUAUCUAUUCU